GUUAUCUGUACAUAUUUAUGUGUAGUAUUGAGGUUGUUUCAGUUCAGGUUAUUGCAGUGGCUUAUGUUAUCAUGACAACAAGAUCGCUCGAGUUAAACUGGAAAAUGAGGGCAUUGCGAGUUUUACCAAUGUUUCUAUUGCCUGGAUUAUCCUUCCUUACAUAUUCAACGCUUGGGAGCUUCACAAGGAUGAAUGAACACAAGGAUCAGAAAACUUUAGAAAGGCUUCGAGCUGAAAGGCAAGCCAAGAUUGAUGAACUCAAAGAGAAGACAAAUUACUAUAUAACGCAGCAUCUCAUUCAGAGGUAUGACCCUGACCCAGCAUCUAAGGCAGCUGCAGCCACUGUGCUUGCGUCCAAGCUCGGUGCAGAUACUGGCUUGAAAGUUUAUGUGGGAGAUGAGUCUAAGCUUAAUGCUCCUAUUGGAAAGAGCAAUGAUGUAGAAAUUUUGCAGUCCAUUGGACUGGGAAACAGGAAGCAAACCAGAUCUGGUAGUGCAGACAAUGGUGUAUUGGAUCAUUCCGAAGGAGGAAUGCUUCGUGAUGUACAACUUGAAGGUUCUAGUAUGAACCAACAUCAGCAAAUGAUUGUCGAGCAUUACAAUCCUAUAGGUUUGAGCACACAAGACGGGGGAUGGCUUGGACGAAUUGCAGCAUUGCUUGUGGGAGAGAAUCCAACCCAAUCUUAUGCUCUUAUCUGCGGCAGUUGCCAUAUGCACAAUGGCCUCGCUAGGAAAGAAGAACUGCCCUAUAUAACCUACUAUUGUCCUCACUACAAAGCCCUGAAUAGGCCUAAGCAGCUUACUGAUGGCACAUCUAGUUCUAGUACUCUGAAUAUGGCAUCCACAACCAUCGCGUUGAUGCUGAUUUGGUCAAACAGGACACUGGAUCCAUGGCUGAGAGAAUCUCCACAAGUAGCAGCCCUGCAGCUGCUUCUGCGGAAACAACAGAAGGUGACAAUAUAGUGUCCGCAAGUAACAGCCCUGCAGUUGCUGUCGCGGAAACAACAGAAGGUGAAAAUAUAGUCUCCAGUACUACAGCUUGAAUGGAUUAGAGCAGGCAGAGUGUAUUGUAAGUGUGAUGAUUUUCUUCUUAGCUUGGUUAGUGUAACUAUGUAUCUCUUGCAAAAACACCUAGUAGGAAAACAAAACUCAGAUGGCAUCGGUCCCACCUGCCUAAUAUCCAUCGUUUUAUAAUCAAGAUAUUACACACUUAAAAAAAGGUUACUAUUACACAUUUUAAGUCUGUUAGGUACAGUACUAGCAGUUUUGUCGGGUCUCCAAAUCCUGAAGGUUCCUUUUUAUUUUUAUUUUUUAAAUCUUCUUGAUUCAUUUGUCCAUUCUUCUCCUAUGUAUUUGGACAAACGAUAUCUCUAUGACGAUUUUUCUAAUUAGUUACUCCAAUCCUUUUCAUCUUCUUUCUGUAUCUACAAUUGAGUUUUGGCAUUUGGUCUUUGAGGUAUUGAAAUGGAAAAUUCAAGGCAGAGAGGGAGGAAAGGGGUUCAUGUUUGAUGGAAAUAAAUUGUGUAACUACAAGUGAAGCAGAAAAUUACGCCCAGUGUCCUCGAAGUGACUGGUCUUGAUUUUUUGAUCUUGCUAAUUAAGUUUUAGCUUUUGCAUAUUAGGA